rnacentral:rRNA from 1 species
UACGGAGGGUGCAAGCGUUAUCCGGAUUUACUGGGUUAAAGGGUGUGUAGGCGGACUUUUAAGUCAGCGGUGAAAUCUCCGGGCUCAACCCGGAAACUGCCAUUGAUACUAUUAGUCUUGAAUAUUGUUGAGGUAGGCGGAACGGGUCAUGUAGCGGUGAAAUGCAUAGAUAUGACCCGGAACACCUAUUGCGAAGGCAGCAGGCUAAACAAAUAUUGACGCUGAGGCUCGAAAGCGUGGGGAUCAAACAGG